UACGUAGGGACCAAGCGUUGUUCGGAUUUACUGGGCGUAAAGGGCGCGUAGGCGGCAUGACAAGUCACUUGUGAAAUCUCCGGGCUUAACUCGGAACGGCCAAGUGAUACUGUCAAGCUAGAGUGCAGAAAGGGCAAUCGGAAUUCUUGGUGUAGCGGUGAAAUGCGUAGAUAUCAAGAGGAACACCUGAGGCGAAGGCGGGUUGCUAGGCUGACACUGACGCUGAAGCGCGAAAACCAGGGGAGCAAACGGG
rnacentral:rRNA from 1 species